GAUCCACCGCCAGCUACUCCUUCCCGCUGCCCCGCCGCUACACGAUGGAGUUCAUCUACGCCGCCUUGCAUGAUCGUGCCCUGAGGAGAGAAAGGCGAUUUCGCGAUCGCCUUGACCCUCUCUCCUUAAGUGACACGGAGCUCGUCAGCCACUACCGGUUCCCCCCCGCAUUAUUUGAUUGAGCUCAUCCAGGAGGUUGAGCCUGCCCUAAGGAGGAGGACAAGGAGGUCACAUGCAAUACCGCCACACACACAAGUUUUGGUGACCUUAAGACUGUUAGCCAGCGGUUCCUUUCAGCACGUCAUAGGCGACGUAUGCGGACUUGCACAGGGCAGUGUCAGCCGUGUAGUCCAGGACGUGACAGCUGUGUUGAGUGACAUAGCUCGACAAGAGAUAAAAAUGACCUCCACGAUGCAUGCAUUGAUGGAAUCGGCAACAGCUUUUGCAAGAGUUCGGAGUUUCCCUCGGGUUAUUGGUGCCAUUGAUUGUACUCAUAUUUCCAUUAAGGCACCCCAUGAAAAUGAGGCUGCCUACGUGAACAGGAAGAGGUACCACUCUUUCAACAUCCAAGUUGUGUGUGAUGCUGCUGGUAUGAUCAUCAGCUAUUGUGUCAUUUCCAGGUAAGUGUUCCUUAUUGAUGAUAUCAUUUAUUGUUAGGCAUGUUAAUAGUUAAAUCACAAACAUCCCUUACCUGCUACAGCAUUUCUAAAGUUUGAUUUUUAGCAAGAAUAAUUGCAGAUUAGCUAUUUAGGCAAUGGAACUUGAGCAUUUGAAGAUGCUAAGACUCCACCAGUGUUGGGCACACCAAACAUGCUACAGCUUUUCUCUUGAGUCUGGUAUUUUUUUCCAGUAUUAACAUGUCCAUGUUUUGGAAUCCUUUUUUUUAUUCUCCCCUUUUUAGCAGGGUCAAAUCACGACUCCUUCAUCUGGCACCAUUGCGACCUAUAUGAACGCUUUCGCAGGGGUGAGUUUGGGGACUACCUGCUCAUUGGUGCGUAUCUGGAGGGAUGUUGAUGUUCUUGACAAAUGUUGCAUUACAUAUGUUACAUAAAUACCUUUUCAGUAAUUACUUAGUGUGUUACAGUAGCUUUCUUAAGUAGUUAUUUCACAUCCUGAAAAUGAUAUCGCAUGACUGUAAUCUUUACAGGCGACAGCGGCUAUGCAUUAGAGCCAUUUUUGAUGACUCCAGUCCGCAACCCCACAACAGAACCGGAGGAGCGCUACAAUAGGGCCCAUACACGGACACGUGUCGUUGUGGAGCAAACCUUUGGAAUACUAAAGAGCCGGUUCAGGUGCCUUCACAAAUCUGGGGGUGCCUUGCAGUAUGCUCCCAUGAAGUGCCUCAACAUCAUCACCUCAUGUUUACUGCUGCACAACCGCUGUGUCCAGCGGGGUAUUCCACUUCCCCAGCGGGUACAAAUUUAUAUUUCGGUAAGGUGGAGAGUUAGCUUUCAGACAUUCUUUCAUAUGCUUCCUGUUGGAUAA